AUUUUCUCUAUGGGUGAGAUCCUUUAACCUCUUCUUUUUAAGGAAUAUUUGGCAUCGAUUAUGUGAUGUCACAUUUUUGUUUUCAUUAAGAAGAUAAUUUGCACGUGUAUUAAAAAUAAUUUUCACCUAAAAGUUUCUAAAGAUGCGCCGUUCAACAGCCAGCAUUGGUUCUCAAAGCGCAGGGGAAGAAACCAAGCGAGCAAGGGAUGCUUGCAUUUCAAGUUUCGUUAUGUUUUUUUUAUCAAUAGCAGUAAUUAGAACAAUACCAACAAUUUUGCAGCAGGUGUAACAGUUAAAGAAGAACCUUUUCGGGUCAAAAACAAUUUUGCACAAAUUUCUGUUACCAUGAUUUUAAUGGUUUUCUUCAAAACAAACAAAUAUUUUUUGUUGAUGUAAAAAAUCUUUAAUGAAGUGCUUCAUAUUGUAAUAGAUACUUACAUAGUACAUUUUUUAUGUAAAUAAAGCUUUUUAUUGGAGA